AGCGAGGACCGGACUCAUUGUUGGUCUCACCUUAGGGAUACUGGUUUCCAUAGCUGCUAUUUUCAUUCUUUAUAAAAUGAAGAAACGGCACAGUAGGAUGCAAAAGGCCCGAGUAAUGAGACAGCUACCAGCACAACCCAAACCGGCCAAGGAUGAAGGAGAGACAAACACUUCACCGGAGUACAACUAUGUGGAUGAUAGUCUCCAGGACGCGUACACAACAAACGACCUGUACAGUACAACAAAGCAUUCAUACCAAGAGGGCGCCCUGCAGGCUGCGCCAGAUACAGCC